rnacentral:rRNA from 1 species
UACGGGGGGGGCAAGCGUUGUUCGGAAUUACUGGGCGUAAAGGGCGCGUAGGCGGCUUAUCAAGUCAGGCGUGAAAUUCCCGGGCUCAACCUGGGGGCUGCGCUUGAUACUGAUUGGCUUGAAUGCGGGAGAGGAUAGUGGAAUUCCCAGUGUAGAGGUGAAAUUCGUAGAUAUUGGGAAGGACACCGACGGCGAAGGCAGCCGUCUGGACCGACACUGACGCUGAGGCGCGAAAGCGUGGGGAGCAAACAGG